UACAGAGGUCUCAAGCGUUGUUCGGAUUCAUUGGGCGUAAAGGGUGUGUAGGUGGCGCCGUAAGUCGGGUGUGAAAUCUCGGGGCUUAACUCCGAAACUGCAUUCGAUACUGCGGUGCUUGAGGACUGGAGAGGAGACUGGAAUUCAUGGUGUAGCGGUGAAAUGCGCAGAUAUCAGGAGGAACACCGGUGGCGAAGGCGGGUCUCUGGGCCGAAAACUGACGCUGAGGAGCGAAAGCGUGGGGAGCAAACAGG
rnacentral:rRNA from 1 species